GAUCAACGCUGGCGGCGUGCUUAACACAUGCAAGUCGAACGAGAAGUGAAGACGGAAACCUUCGGGCGGAAGGCUUUAUUUCGAGUGGCGGACGGGUGAGUAACGCGUGGGUAACCUGCCUCAUACAGGGGGAUAACAGUUGGAAACGACUGUUAAUACCGCAUAAGACCACAGCACCGCAUGGUGCGGGGGUAAAAACUCCGGUGGUAUGAGAUGGACCCGCGUUCGAUUAGCCAGUUGGCGGGGUAACGGCCCACCAAAGCGACGAUCGAUAGCCGAUCUGAGAGGAUGACCGGCCACAUUGGGACUGAGACACGGCCCAAACUCCUACGGGAGGCAGCAGUGGGGAAUAUUGCACAAUGGGGGAAACCCUGAUGCAGCGACGCCGCGUGAGUGAAGAAGUAUUUCGGUAUGUAAAGCUCUAUCAGCAGGGAAGAAAAUGACGGUACCUGAGGAAGAAGCCCCGGCUAACUACGUG
rnacentral:rRNA from 1 species